rnacentral:tRNA from 1 species
UAGCUCAGCUGGAUAGAGCAACGGUUUCCUAAACCGUAGGUCAGACGUUCAAAUCGUCU